rnacentral:lncRNA from 1 species
CCCAGCACAGAGCAGAGUAGAACAGAGUAGGAUUGGAGCUGAGAGAUAGUAAGUAAAUAGGCAGCAGAAAUAUGUCAAGCAACAAUACCCCAUGUCAGCAUUUUACCUAUGGAUGGCAUUUUCUAUUUUCGGUGACGGACUAUGAGCCAGGAUAAACACAUUACUCUCUUCUUUAACAAAAAGAGCAUGGUUAACUCCAAAGACUUCUCUAGACCAGCCUGGAUGGUACCUAAACUUUAAUCAACCAAUGCUCAAGUAAAAGAGCAGUAUCCAGCCCCAGCACACCUAACUGUUUUGCAUAACAUAGUCUCUGAUUUCAGGAGCAGAAGAAAAUAUAUAAGAAGAGAUUUACCUGGGUAACGGUUAAGUUUCCCAAUCUCCAUCGUACAUAAUAUCGAAUAGGAAUCACAAGUGUGUAGAGGACAUGAAGGAAGGCAAAUCCCAGAGCUACCAAGCCAAGCUGCUUUCGGCAAAGCAUCCAGUGGUCAAGCCAGUCUGGGAAUCGACGGUAUUUUGUGCCUCGGUACAGUUGUAGAAUGGCAGCAAUAACACCAGGGAGGUAAACCAAAGCAAGCAGUUGCUCCUGACUGGAGAGCCCAGGCUGAGAUGGUGUUAAAUGCUUUUACCACGUGGGCUCCUGGCACCAAAUGAGCAAGAUCUCACCCCACAGGCCUUGGAAACCUGAGGCAGUAUUCUUCUGGGAUGUUUCCAACUAGGCUUCCCAUGAGGAUGUUAGAGCCAGCCUGGCUGGUGAAUUUUACUUCUCUCACCUCUCAGAGGUAAGAGGUCUGAGAGGCUCAGGCCCUUCCAGCUUUUGAGGA